rnacentral:rRNA from 1 species
UACGUAGGGUCCGAGCGUUGUCCGGAGUUACUGGGCGUAAAGCGUGCGCAGGCGGUUUUGUAAGUCUGUCGUGAAAGCCCCGGGCUCAACCUGGGAAUUGCGAUGGAGACUGCAAGGCUUGAAUCUGGCAGAGGGGGGGUAGAAUUCCACGUGUAGCAGUGAAAUGCGUAGAGAUGUGGAGGAACACCGAUGGCGAAGGCAGCCCCCUGGGUCAAGAUUGACGCUCAUGCACGAAAGCGUGGGGAGCAAACAGG